ACGGACUCAUGAGAGUAGGAACCCCGCCAUACGGGAAUUUCAAAAUCAUGGGUUUUUUG
rnacentral:ncRNA from 1 species